rnacentral:rRNA from 1 species
CCCUUAGAUGUUCUGGGCCGCACGCGCGCUACACUGGUGCGUUCAACAAGUUUACAACCUUGAUUGACAAGUCUGGGUAAUCUUUUGAAUGCGCACCGUGCUAGGGAUAGAUUAUUGCAAUUAUUAAUCUUGAACGAGGAAUUCCUAGUAAACGCAAGUCAUCAGCUUGCAUUGAUUACGUCCCUGCCCUUUGUACACACCGCCCGUCGCACCUACUGAUUGAAUGGUCCGGUGAAAUCUCGGGACGGCGGCUUGGUCGCUUGCGUCCGACUGCUGAAACUUGAUUAAACCAUAUCAUUUAGAGGAAGGUGAAGUCGUAACA